rnacentral:rRNA from 1 species
AGUGAACGCUGGCGGUAGGCCUAACACAUGCGAGUCGAACGGCAGCACAGUAAGAGCUUGCUCUUACGGUUGGCGAGUGGCGGACGGGUGAGGAAUACAUCGGAGUCUACUUUUUCGUGGGGGAUAACGUAGGGAAACUUACGCUAAUACCGCAUACGACCUACGGGUGAAAGCAGGGGAUCUUCGGACCUUGCGCGAUUGAAUGAGCCGAUGUCGGAUUAGCUAGUUGGCGGGGUAAAGGCCCACCAAGGCGACGAUCCGUAGCUGGUCUGAGAGGAUGAUCAGCCACACUGGAACUGAGACACGGUCCAGACUCCUACGGGAGGCAGCAGUGGGGACUAUUGGACAAUGGGCGCAAGCCUGCUCCAGCCAUACCGCGUGGGUGAAGAAGGCCUUCGGGUUGUAAAGCCCUUUUGUUGGGAAAGAAAAGCAGCAGGUUAAUACCCCGCUGUUCUGACGGUACCCAAAGAAUAAGCACCGGCUAACUUCGUG